rnacentral:rRNA from 1 species
GCCGUCGCUCAACGGAUAAAAGGUACUCCGGGGAUAACAGGCUGAUACCGCCCAAGAGUUCACAUCGACGGCGGUGUUUGGCACCUCGAUGUCUGCUCAUCACAUCCUGGGGCUGAAGCCGGUCCCAAGGGUAUGGCUGUUCGCCAUUUAAAGUGGUACGCGAGCUGGGUUUAGAGCGUCGUGAGACAGUUCGGUCCCUAUCUGGUGUGGGCGUUGGAUGAUUGAUGGGAGCUGCUCCUAGUACGAGAGGACCGGAGUGGACGAACCGCUGGUGUUCGGGUUGUCAUGCCAAUGGCAUUGCCCGGUAGCUAUGUUCGGAACGGAUAACCGCUGAAAGCAUCUAAGCGGGAAGCCGGCCCAAAGAUGAGUCAUCCCUGACCUUUAAGGUCUGGAAGGGUUGUUAUAGACGAUGACGUUGAUAGGCAGGGUGUGGAAGCGUUGUAAGGCGUUAAGCUAACCUGUACUAAUUGCCCGAGAGGCUUAACCAUACAACGCCUAAGUAG